rnacentral:lncRNA from 1 species
AAUUUAUAAAAUUAAAGACAAUCCUACAGUUAUCAGGAUAGUCAUAUAUGUUUAUGUCAGAUAUACAUGUAAACAGUAAGCUUAAUUUGUUAAAAAGCAGGAGCAAAUUGUUGCUUUUUAAAUUAUGAGAGUCAAAUUUUGUUUUUUUGUAAUUUUGAUUGCUACAUACACAAUGUACCUAUAUUUUACAUGAACUUAUGACAUACAAAAGACACAUAUAUUUUAAAGUGGUUAUUGCAUAUAUUUAUUUAAAAAAAUAAAACUUGUAUAUCAAAUCUUAGAUAAUUGUAUUGUUAAUCCACUAUUUAGAUGGGAUCUUUUGGGACGGCAAUACCUUUGUUUCAUAAAUUUGUUGUUUAUUGUCCUUCAUCAUGUUCAUGUCCUUAGAAACAAAAUCUAGACAUGAUAUACACAAUGGCGGAUCCAGAAAUUUUCAUAAGUGGGGGCCCACUGACUGACCUAUGAGGGGGCCUGCUCCAGUCAUGCUUCAAUGAUUCCCUAUAUAAGCAACCAAUUUUUUUCCCAAAAAGCCCCUCCCCCCCUAAAUCCGCCUCUGAUACAUGAUACAAGGAUUUCAAACUUUUAACAUUUAGUACAAAACUGGAAAAAAAAUAGCUUAUUUUGAGAUCUUGUCAUUAGAUUUUUACAGAUACAUCAUUGUACAUUUGUACAUGUACAUGUAUAUGAUCAUGGUGAGCAUAUAAGGUUAGUUUGACUCAAAUAUAUCAAGUAAACUUGUAAAGUAAUAAGUAAAUCACAAUUUACCUUUCUGUUCUAAAUUGUUCAUUUAGAUCAUUUUGUACAUUAACCUGUCCAUUUAAAAAUAGAAUUAAUCAUACAAAAAAGUCUUGUAACUUUGAAAGGUUGAAUAAGUUUUCUAUGUUUUAAUAUGGUAAGAUGUUAAGAGAUCAUUAUAUAUUUUCCACAGGUUCUUAGGAUAAUAAAAUAACUAAUUUGAUAUUAAAUACAAUUUUCCAAAUUCAAUUCAAAGAAUAAUUGAUCACCUGAUAAGCUGUUAUUUCUUUAAACAGAUAAAAGAUACAUCAGCUGACAGACUUACAUGUAGAGGAGCCUUUAAUUAGAGAAAUGGAUCAACUUGAUUUUGAAGUUAACCUACUGCAUUUAUAUGAAAAUUCAGAAGUGAGUACCAGUAUCUCUUAAAGUACAUUUUUUACAUGUUUAUCUUCAUUUAGAUAGAGUACCAUAUAAGAUAAAGUAUGUGGAAUCUUAAAUCCAGUAUAUAUACAUACUAGACAUUAUACAUCAGUACAUACAUGUACAUAAUGCAAAUCAUAAUAAGAAGGCAUAACAAUUGAACUGUUAAACAAUUAUUAGAUGACCCGUGUCACCUUAAUUUAAGAAAAAAAUUAAAACACAGAGAACACACAGACAAAAAUUAAUGAGACCAUGUACUCCAAUAUGCAAGGGUUUUAAUCUCCCACUACAAAUGUAAUAUGAAGUCCUGAAUGUGAAAUCCUCUAAAAAAUUAUAUUAAACUUCAAAUAUGUGUACUUGAAUACAUGUAUAUAUAAUAUUCAAAUUCAUCUUAUUUAAUAUAAUUAAUUUAAAACAUUUUCAAGCAAAAAACUGAUGUAUAAAUGUAUAGCUUAACUGUUCCUUUAUUUUUUUUCAGGUGACUGAGCUAAAAGAAAAACACACAUGAAAAUGUAACCAGUUUGGCACCAUCAAAGUGACCAACAUAACAUUUGAAUACCUUUUAAGUUUUUUAUGUAUAUGUUUGACUUUUGGUAAUAUUUCGGCAGUUUCUUCAGUAAAUGAGACACAUCAAUGUUGAAAAUGACAAUUUUGAUAGAGGACAAUUAUAAGACUACCAACUUUAUUGUUUAUGGAUCUUUAUCUUUUAAAAUACUACUGGAUGUCUAAAAGAAUAUUUCAAUUUCUUCUGAAACUAUUUAGAUAUUUAUUAUGUUUCAUGUGUUUAUAGGCAAAUAUUUAUAUAUGUCAUUUAUGUUAAGCAAGGGUUAAUAU